rnacentral:tRNA from 1 species
GCCUGGCUGGCUCAGUCGGUGGAGCGUGUGACUCUCGAUCUCGGGGUCAGAGGUUCGAGCCCCAUGUCGGGCG